AAAUACACCCAAUCUCAUCUGAUCCUGUGCAAAGCUAAGCAGGGUUGGGCCUGGUUAGUAUUUGGAUGGGAGACUACCUGGGGAAUACCAGGUGCUGUAAGCU
rnacentral:rRNA from 1 species